GAAAUGCGAUAAGUAGUGUGAAUUGCAGAAUUCAGUGAAUCAUCGAAUCUUUGAACGCUCAUUGCGCCCUUUGGUAUUCCUUAGGGCAUGCCUGUUCGAGCGUCAUCUAAACCUUCAAGCCCUGCUUGGUGUUGGGUGCCUGUCCCGCCUCCGCGCGCGGACUCACCUCAAAUCCAUUGGCGGCCCCCGCGUCGGCCACGAGCGCAGCAGAAACGCGAACUCGUGAGCCCGUCCGGGCGGCUCCCAGAAGCUACACCCACCCAGUUUGACCUCGGAUCAGGUAGGGAUACCCGCUGAACUUAAGC
rnacentral:misc_RNA from 1 species